rnacentral:misc_RNA from 1 species
GAUUUCUCUUCUUUCUUUCUUCUAAUAAUAAUAAUUGAAUUGUGAGAAUGCUAAUCUACGGCCCUCUUUCACCUGGUCAGGUGUCAUUUUUUCUUGGAAUUGUGCCGAUAUGUGCUGCUUGGUUAUAUUCAGAGUAUUUAGAGUAUAAGAAAAAUUCAGCAUCAUCCAAAGUUAGGCAUUCUGAUAUCAACUUGGUUGAGUUGGGAGAUGAAGCAGUCAAAGAAGAUGAUAGAGCUGUCCUAUUGGAAGGAGGUGGUCUUCAAUCAACAUCGCCUAGAAUCAGAAGUUCAUCUGUGACAUCUCAGUUUACUAGGUUUUUCUUGAUGGAUGAAACUUUCUUGCUUGAAAAUCGAUUAACUCUGAGAGCAAUAUCAGAGUUUGGUACCCUUUUGAUUUACUUUUACAUAUCUGACCGUACAAAUCUGUUUGGUGAAUCAAAAAAGAGCUACAAUCGUGAUCUUUUCAUCUUCCUAUACUUCCUUCUCAUCAUUGUCUCAGCAAUCACUUCUUUUAAGAUCCACCAUGAUAAGUCUCCUUUCUCCGGAAAAUCUAUAAUGUAUUUGAAUCGGCAUCAAACUGAAGAAUGGAAAGGAUGGAUGCAGGUUAUUUUUAAUGUAUCACUACUUUGCUGCCACAGAAAUUUACAAUGCUAUACGAGUUUUUAUAGCUGCAUACGUAUGGAUGACUGGGUUCGGGAACUUCUCUUACUACUACAUCCGCAAGGAUUUCAGCAUUGCAAGAUUCGCUCAGAUGAUGUGGAGGCUUAACUUCUUGGUAUUCUUUAGCUGUGUUAUCCUUAACAACAAUUACAUGUUGUACUAUAUAUGCCCCAUGCACACUCUUUUUACACUGAUGGUUUAUGGGGCCCUUGGUAUAUUCAACAAAUACAAUGAAAAUGGGACAAUUAUUGCCGUUAAAUUCAUUGUCUGCUUCUUGUUUGUUAUUCUGAUGUGGGAAGUUCCAGGAGUCUUUGAAGUGGUUUGGAGCCCAUUUACUUUCUUCCUUGGAUAUGCUGACCCUGAUCCUUCAAAACCAAAGCAGUCUCUCUUGCAUGAAUGGGAAUUCCGUUCAGGCCUUGAUCGUUACAUCUGGAUAAUUGGGAUGAUAUAUGCAUACUACCAUCCAACAGUAGAGAAAUGGAUGGAGAAACUUGAGGAAACUGAAGUGAAACGUAGGAUAUCAAUAAAAGCAGCUGUUGCCAUAAUGUCACUCACGAUGGGAUAUCUUUGGUAUGAGUACAUAUACAAGCUUCCGAAGGAGACAUAUAACAAAUAUCACCCUUACACAUCUUGGAUACCGAUAACUGUCUACAUAUCCUUGCGGAAUGUUACCCAAUAUUUUCGUAGCUACACGUUAACCCUUUUUGCAUGGCUUGGGAAGAUCACUUUGGAGACUUAUAUAUCGCAAAUCCAUAUAUGGUUAAGAUCUGGUGUGCCAGACGGACAGCCUAAAAAGUUGCUGUGUUUGAUCCCCGGCUACCCAUUGAUGAACUUCAUGCUUACCACUGCCAUAUAUGUUGCAGUUUCUCACAGAUUAUUUGAAUUGACAAACACUUUGAAAUCCACGUUUAUUCCCAUGAAAGAGGAUAAACGUCUUGGCUACAACAUAGUUGCGGCUUUAGUUGUAUCAGGUCUUCUAUAUGUCUUGUCCUCAGUAUUUCUAAGGGUACCUCAGAUGCUGGUGUAAAUGGGUAACGUACAUUAUAUGAAGGCAGAUACAAUUUGUGAGCCAACUACAACUGGCUAUUGUUUCUUGUUUACAUAAUUAAACAGAGAGAGAUACUCAACUGGAUUAUAGUUCUUAGUUUAGGAUUCUUUGUAUAUACAGUCUGGCUCUUAAACUCAACUUUUGGAUUGUGCAGUUUGUAUUUUUCACAUUUUGUAAUGUAGACCUUCUAACUGCGAGGCCGAUAUACCAAUUUACUUAUCUAUAUUGUUCUACCUGAGUAAUAUAUUUGAA